AGCGCAGCGGUCGCGAGCGCUCU
rnacentral:miRNA from 1 species